GUCAUUGGUGUCCCCAUGUCCCCGUACCCCAAUUUUGGCGUCCCCAUUGUCCCCUUUUCCCCAUCCCCAACACCCCACAGACCUUGGUGCCCCAUUCCCGGUGUCAUUGAUGUCCCCAUGUCCCCGUACCCCAACUUUGGUGUCAUUGGUGUCCCCAUGUCCCUGUACCCCAAUUUUGGUGUCCCCACAUCCUCGUACCCCAAUUUUGGUGUCAUUGGUGUCCCCAUUGUCCCCAUUCCCCCGUCCCCAACACCCUAUAGACCUUGAUGCCCCAUUUGUGGUGUCCCCACAUCCCUGUACCCCAAUUUUGGUGUCAUUGGUGUCCCCAUUGUCCCCAUUCCCCCGUCCCCAACACCCUAUAGACCUUGAUGCCCCAUCCCUGGUGUCCCCAUGUCCCCGUCCCCCAAGUUUGGUGUCAUCGGUGUCCCCACAUCCCUGUACCCCAGUUUUGGUGUCAUUGGUG
rnacentral:lncRNA from 1 species